ensembl:lncRNA
GGAGGCUAUAUACAGGGGUACCGGUACAGAGUCAAUGUGGAGGCUAUAUACAGGGGGUACCAGUACAGAGUCAAUGUGGAGGCUAUAUACAGGGGUACCAGUACAGAGUCAAUGUGGAGGCUAUAUACAGGGGGUACCGGUACAGAGUCAAUGUGGAGGCUAUAUACAGGGGGUACCAGUACAGAGUCAAUGUGGAGGCUAUAUACAGGGGGUACCAGUACAGAGUCAAUGUGGAGACUAUAUACAGGGGGUACCGGUACUGAGUCAAUGUGGAGGAUAUAUACAGGGGGUACCGGUACAGAGUCAAUGUGGAGGUUAUAUACAGGGGGUACAGGUACAGAGUCAAUGUGGAGGUUAUAUACAGGGGGUACCGGUACAGAGGCAAUGUGGAGGCUAUAUACAGGGGGUACCGGUACAGAGUCAAUGUGGAGGUUAUAUACAGGGGGUACAGGUACAGAGUCAAUGUGGAGGCUAUAUACAGGGGGUACCGGUACAGAGUCAAUGUGGAGGUUAUAUACAGGGGGUACCAGUACAGAGUCAAUGUGGAGGCUAUAUACAGGGGGUACCGGUACAGAGUCAAUGUGGAGGUUAUAUACAGGGGGUACCAGUACAGAGUCAAUGUGGAGGUUAUAUACAGGGGGUACCGGUAUAGAGGCAAUGUGGAGGGUAUAUACAGGGGGUACCGGUAUAGAGGCAAUGUGGAGGUUAUAUACAGGGGGUACCAGUACAGAGUCAAUGUGGAGGAUAUAUACAGGGG